rnacentral:rRNA from 1 species
UGGGGAAUUUUGGACAAUGGGCGCAAGCCUGAUCCAGCAAUGCCGCGUGUGUGAAGAAGGCCUUCGGGUUGUAAAGCACUUUUGUCCGGAAAGAAAUCCGUCUGGCUAAUACCCGGACGGGAUGACGGUACCGGAAGAGUAAGCACCGGCUAACUACGUGCCAGCAGCCGCGGUAAUACGUAGGGUGCGAGCGUUAAUCGGAAUUACUGGGCGUAAAGCGUGCGCAGGCGGCUUUGUAAGACAGAUGUGAAAUCCCCGGGCUCAACCUGGGAACUGCAUUUGUGACUGCAAGGCUAGAGUGCGUCAGAGGGAGGUGGAAGUCCGCGUGUAGCAGUGAAAUGCGUAGAGAUGCGGAGGAACACCGAUGGCGAAGGCAGCCUCCUGGGAUGACACUGACGCUCAUGCACGAAAGCGUGGGGAGCAAACA